UACGGAGGGUGCAAGCGUUAUCCGGAUUCACUGGGCUUAAAGGGUGCGUAGGUGGCUUUGUAAGUCAGUGGUGAAAGCCCGGAGCUUAACUCCGGAACUGCCAUUGAUACUGCUUAGCUUGAAUCAGGUCGAGGUGGAUGGAAUAUUACAUGUAGCGGUGAAAUGCUUAGAUAUGUAAUAGAACACCGAUUGCGAAGGCAGUUCACUAGGCCUGAAUUGACACUGAGGCACGAAAGCGUGGGGAUCAAACAGG
rnacentral:rRNA from 1 species